UACGUAGGGUGCAAGCGUUUGUCCGGAUUUAUUGGGCGUAAAGAGCUCGUAGGCGGUCUGUCGCGUCGGAUGUGAAAACCCAGGGCUCAACCCUGGGCCUGCAUUCGAUACGGGCAGACUAGAGUGUGGCAGGGGAGACUGGAAUUCCUGGUGUAGCGGUGAAAUGCGCAGAUAUCAGGAGGAACACCGGUGGCGAAGGCGGGUCUCUGGGCCAAUACUGACGCUGAGGAGCGAAAGCGUGGGGAGCGAACAGG
rnacentral:rRNA from 1 species